rnacentral:rRNA from 1 species
UACAGAGGGUGCUAGCGUUGUUCGGAAUCAUUGGGCGUAAAGGGCGUGUAGGCGGUUUGUUAAGUCAUGUGUGAAAUCCCUCGGCUCAACCGGGGGAACGACGCAUGAAACUGGCAGCUAGAGUACCAAAGAGGGGGGGUGGAAUUCCCGGUGUAGCGGUGAAAUGCGUAGAUAUCGGGGAGGAACACCUGUGGCGAAGGCGGCCCCCUGGUUGGAUACUGACGCUGAUACGCGAAAGCGUGGGGAGCAAACAGG